GGCGCAGGAUGAGCGAUCGCUGGUGUUAUUAAUAAUAGCACUGGAGGAAAGUCCGGGCUCCACUGAGUCAAUGGUACUGGUUAACGGCCAGGCAUCUUUUUCGUGAGGAAAAGAUGACGGAAAGUGCAACAGAAAAUAAACCGCCUUUUUAUUAAAAGGUAAGGGCGAAACGGUGAGGCAAGAGCUCACCGCACCCGUGGUGACACGGGCGGCAUGGCAAACCCUACCUGGUGCAAGGCUAAAUAGAUGAGGCUCAGUUCUUUACUAAAUAGAAAUGGCAAAGAAUUGACAGGUGACUCAACUGCUGCCUCAGGGUAAGCCGCUUGAGAUUUGUGGUAACGCAAGUCCUAGACGAAUGAUCGUUACUUGUAUAAUGCAAGGACAGAACCCGGCUUAUAGUCCUGCGCCCUUU
rnacentral:RNase_P_RNA from 1 species